rnacentral:pre_miRNA from 1 species
AGUGGGAUAGCUUGGUCAAAUGGUGGUUCCAUUUCAAGUUCUCUAAGAAAUCUCCAUACUGCUUGCCAGAUGAGUAGCACCAAUUUGCAGUCCUAUGAGCAAU